rnacentral:tRNA from 1 species
GGGGGCGUGGCUCAGCGGCAGAGCAUUUGUCUAGUGUGCAGAGGGGCCUGGGUUCAAAUCCUGACACCACAA